AAAAAGUUGUCUCCUACAGUAAUUUACCACCUCCACUAAAUAGCCCAACUUCGAGGGUCUUCACUGUGCCCGGCCCCCGGCCGUGAAGUAGCUCGCCCCGGCCUCCGGCGACCUCAUUGAACGGCGAACAAACGACUUCGUAUGGCAAAUCCUCUGCUACGAGGCCUUCGAAGACUUCCUUUUGUUUCACUUCUCAGAAAGCCACUGUCUUCUAAUAUCUGUUCUCACAGGCCAAUUCUUGGAAUCCCAGAAAGCUUUUUUCCCUUACCAAAGUUAGUGCUUCAUAAUAACUUAACCCCAAAAAACUUAUUUUGGGAAUUUAGAGGCUUUAGCCAUGGGAGUGUGAAUUUUGUGAUAACAAAAGAUGGGAAGCCCAAGUUUGAGACACAUGAAGUGGAGGCACCAAAGAAGGAGAAAUGGAAGACAAAGAAGAGGCUAAAGCUGCAAAGGAAGAGGGAUAAGAAGAAGAGAAAAGCUGCAAAUAAGAGAGAUCCAAGAAGGCUUGGUGUUAAGGGGAAGAAAAAGAAGCAGAAGUUUGAUACUCCUGAAGAAAGAAUUAAGCAGAAGAUUGAAAAUGCAAAAGUCAAAGAAGCCAUGCUAAUCGAGAGAUUAAAGCGAUAUGAGGUUCCCAAAGUUCAAGGUCCUGAGGUUAAGCCGCAUUUUCUCACUGGUGAGGAACGGUUCUAUAUCAAAAAGAUGGCACAGAAAAAGUCUAAUUAUGUGCCAAUUGGCAGAAGGGGAGUUUUUGGAGGUGUUAUUCUCAAUAUGCAUCUACAUUGGAAAAAGCAUGAAACUGUCAAAGUCAUAUGCAAUUCUUGCAAACCUGGUCAAAUCCAAGAAUAUGCCGAUGAAAUUGCAAGACUGAGCGGUGGCAUCCCAAUUCAGAUAAUCGGGGAUGAUACAAUAGUUUUUUACAGAGGAAGGGAUUAUGUGCAGCCCGAAAUUAUGUCUCCUAUUGAUACAUUGUCUAAGAAGAGGGCGUUGGAAAAGUCCAAGUAUGAGCAAUCGCUCGAGUCUGUUAGACGUUUCAUUGCCAUAGCUGAGAAGGAACUUGAACUCUACUAUAGACAUGUUGCCCUAUACGGUGACCCAAAUAAUCGGAGUGCUUACUCCAUCCUUGAUGAUUCAAGAAGUGCAAGAGAAAAACGAAAUGCUGAAAUAGGAGAGGAGAACUAUUCAUCGAGCGAAUCUAAUCCCUUGGAUCUCGAAUUGUCAGAAAUUGAUGAUAAUUGUUCUGAUGACAACCAGUCCUUAAGCGAAUUUGAAUUCGAGGAUACUGACGAAUCAAGUAGUGAUGACUUGGAUUCUGGGGAGGGUAACUCUAGUAAUUACUCAGGCAGCAUACAGGGAUAUACUAGUAGAUAUUCCAAAGGUAAUCCUGGUAGUCAAGAAUAUCUUGGAUUUAAAGAUUGAGACCUGAAAUAAUGCGGCUUUAAUUCUUGUUCCGGUAGUUUCAUGAUCUAAUUCUGUAGCGUAACCUAAAAUUUCUGAUUCUAAUUUAUAGUUGACGUUUCCAAUUGGUUUCCUUGUAUUGACACUAGACCCUAACAAGAGGUAUUGCCGGUGAGAUUAUCCGGGGGAUCCUCCCCACCUUGUGUUUGUUAUAAUCUGACCUGAAUUCUUGAAGUUUGUAACUUGACGCUAGAAUCCGACUUUUUAUUUCUUCGAUUGAUGGCGGAAGGAUUAUUCUUAAGCUUCUACAAAAUCUUCAUGGCCAAAUUUUGGUUAUGGGUUUUGAUUCCAAUGGCACAAGUUUCAUUCCCGGGGAACUGCAAUAAAUGGCAGUCAUGUUCAGGUUGGUUGAAGCAAAGGCCAGAUAUUUUCCUGAUAACUGGCAUAAUUCGUAUUUGAUGAAUGGGAGUCUGCAAAGAAAAGCGUGGCCAAGGUGGAUAGCACGAGUCCAAAUCAUAGUAGAGACAAAGAAUGUUAGAUGAUUUCUUCCGAUCUACC